GAAAAAGAAACCAACAGGGAUUGCCUCAGUAGCGGCGAGUGAAGCGGCAAGAGCUCAGAUUUGAAAUCGUGCUUUGCGGCACGAGUUGUAGAUUGCAGGUUGGAGUCUGUGUGGAAGGCGGUGUCCAAGUCCCUUGGAACAGGGCGCCCAGGAGGGUGAGAGCCCCGUGGGAUGCCGGCGGAAGCAGUGAGGCCCUUCUGACGAGUCGAGUUGUUUGGGAAUGCAGCUCCAAGCGGGUGGUAAAUUCCAUCUAAGGCUAAAUACUGGCGAGAGACCGAUAGCGAACAAGUACUGUGAAGGAAAGAUGAAAAGCACUUUGAAAAGAGAGUGAAACAGCACGUGAAAUUGUUGAAAGGGAAGGGUAUUGCGCCCGACAUGGGGAUUGCGCACCGCUGCCUCUCGUGGGCGGCGCUCUGGGCUUUCCCUGGGCCAGCAUCGGUUCUUGCUGCAGGAGAAGGGGUUCUGGAACGUGGCUCUUCGGAGUGUUAUAGCCAGGGCCAGAUGCUGCGUGCGGGGACCGAGGACUGCGGC
rnacentral:rRNA from 1 species